UGGGGAAUAUUGGGCAAUGGACGCAAGUCUGACCCAGCAACGCCGCGUGAAGGAAGAAGGCUUUCGGGUUGUAAACUUCUUUUAACAGGGAAGAGUAGAAGACGGUACCUGUUGAAUAAGCCACGGCUAACUACGUGCCAGCAGCCGCGGUAAUACGUAGGUGGCAAGCGUUGUCCGGAAUGAUUGGGCGUAAAGGGUGCGUAGGCUGUUAUGUAAGUCAGCGGUGAAAUACCUAAGCUCAACUUAGGGGCUGCCGUUGAUACUGCAUAGCUGGAAUAUGGUUGCUGUUGGCGGAAUGUGUAGUGUAGCGGUGAAAUGCAUAGAUAUUACACAGAACACCGAUUGCGAAGGCAGCUGACAAAACCAUAAUUGACGCUGAUGCACGAAAGUGUGGGGAUCAAACA
rnacentral:rRNA from 1 species